GGCAAAACAAGGUCGUGUUGACGAAAAUCGAGAACAACAAGUGAGAGCAACGAUUCGUGGAAAGAAAAGAUUCUCUUGCAUUCCUGCGCUGUUCAAAUCGGUAGAAUGACAUCUUCCGAAGAUCCAUUUGAAACGGCAGCAGGAGCUUCCUUCAAAGAUGAAUGUAGCAUUAAGUACAAAUUGUGAAAACAACGGUUCUUCCGGAAGUGCUAACAAGAAAGUGGAAGUUUUUGACUCUGACAAGCAUUCACUGAGGCAAAUUUGAAAGCCGCCGCUGGCUACCAGGAUACGGUCAAUGCGGUACAUAUUCAAAAUGAGUAAUUAUCCAGCUGAAGGACUCUGGAUUUUUGCAUUUCCUAAAGUAGUGGGAGGAAAUUUUGGUGUUAGUGUUCGCCAUGACAAUCUGCUUGCAAUAUCAUCCUGAAGACUAAUCCGAAUGGUCGAUUCAUACGGCAGCAUAUAAAUAUUAUUAUGAUCUACUCUCUGG